rnacentral:lncRNA from 1 species
GUGCUACUUCGUUUGCUACGCCGAGAACCCGAGCCCGAGGCUGUUCGACGACACCAUCCCUGCCCGGCUCAACCAGAUCCGGUCCGACAGUGAGGGGUUCGUGCCGACGCCACGGUUCCCCCGGCGUCACCCUACAACCUAAACGACGGAGGCGGCUCUGCCUUCAAUCGCACUCCACCGCCGCCGGCUCCUCUGCGGUUAGUCGCAGUAAGACUUCAACCGUGGUGGGUGGGCGGGCGGGCUAUCGAGGGGGAGGCGUGGAUUGUCCAUCACGCGAAGGAUGGAUGGUUUGACCCGGCGACGUCGCUAAUAAGCAACACCCGAGGCCACGACGUGCCGAGGUGGAACGAAGGCGACAGCCACAUCGCGCACGCAAAUGAUCACAGCGCGGACAUUUGCCAACCACAUUGCUUAUCGGAGGUCCCAUCCACUUACCAAUAUCUUUUGCUAUCACGAGUUGUCCUGUGGAGAUUGACGUGUGGCCCAAUUCACAUACGUGAUAGAGAUAUAUCGUAGACAAAGAAGCCAUGUAAUUGUACCGAGAGCAGCAGCGGAAUGUGAAGUCGAUGUCGACAUGUAGGUAGGAAUAAUUACGGUGUAAAGGGGUGAGAGACACACAUAAAUAAUAUGAUUAUAAAUGUAUAACGAAGGGGACAAGGAUGGUGGGGAUUGAUUGGCGUGGCUGCUACAAGACAAAUCUGCCUGUCGCGUGUGAGUUGAGAUGUAUUUUGCUGUGAACAGUUUGUUGUAUGUCCACUUCAUUUGGAUGGAAUAUUCUGGGUGGAAGACGUGCGCAAUGCUGCAUGCAGCAUCGCUGGUCAAUGGUGGGAAGACUAUAAACUAUCCGCCAAUGCAACGGGCCCCAUUAAUGAA